UACGUAGGGUGCGAGCGUUAAUCGGAAUUACUGGGCGUAAAGCGUGCGCAGGCGGUUAUGCAAGACAGAUGUGAAAUCCCCGGGCUCAACCUGGGAACUGCAUUUGUGACUGCAUAGCUAGAGUACGGUAGAGGGGGAUGGAAUUCCGCGUGUAGCAGUGAAAUGCGUAGAUAUGCGGAGGAACACCGGAUGGCGAAGGCAAUCCCCUGGACCUGUACUGACGCUCAUGCACGAAAGCGUGGGGAGCAAACAGGAUUAGA
rnacentral:rRNA from 1 species